rnacentral:misc_RNA from 1 species
GAAAUGCGAUAAGUAAUGUGAAUUGCAGAAUUCAGUGAAUCAUCGAAUCUUUGAACGCACAUUGCGCCCGCCAGCACUCCGGCGGGCAUGCCUGUUCGAGCGUCAUUUCAACCAUCAAGCCCCCGGGCUUGUGUUGGGGACCUGCGGCUGCCCGCAGGCCCUGAAAACCAGUGGCGGGCUCGCUGUCACACCGAGCGUAGUAGCAAUCACCUCGCUCAGGGCGUGCUGCGGGUUCCGGCCGUUAAACAGCCUUACAAAACCCAAGGUUGACCUCGGAUCAGGUAGGAAGACCCGCUGAACUUAAGC